CCCAGACAGUAAAGUGACUUGGAGCAGAGAUGCUGAAGGAGGAGGAAGAGAGGACAUUCUGACUGUUGAUAAUGGAAAAGAAACUAGACACAUCAGCGACCCACAGAAACGCUACGUUACAUUAGCAGACUUGUCACUUACAAUUACAAGAGUGUCAUUCUCCGACUCUGGGAGAUAUUACUGUAAUGGGACAGCAGCAGCAGAUCUACAGGUGAUAUCGGAGAAAGGAGAAGUGAAUCCGAAAAAUUCCAAUGACACAGCAAAGACUUCUGUGGAGAGGAACGGAGAGAAGCCCAAGCAGACAGAGAAAGACAGCGACGAAAAGCUCACUGAAGCCCCAACAACUGUUUCUACAGCAGUAGCAACAGCAAUUCCAAAAACAACAGCAGAUCCCAAAAGGAAAGGAGGGGGACCAAAGGAAG